CAAAAUUAGGGAUAAAGAAGAUCAAUCAAAAGAGGUCACCAAAAUCCUCAACAAAACAAAAAAUAUAAAAUAUGGUGACUGCCAUUUCAAGAAAAUUCGUCUUGAAUCCUCAUCACACCUUCGAACCCUCUUGGAAGUCGAAUACGUGUAUUUGAAUUAACUGAACAUAGGAACUGGAGAUCAUCAAGAAGAAGGGGUGGGUAAAAAAUAACUUUUG
rnacentral:lncRNA from 1 species